UACAGAGGGGGCAAGCGUUGUUCGGAAUUACUGGGCGUAAAGGGCGCGUAGGCGGCCUGUUAAGUCGAACGUGAAAUCCCUGGGCUCAACCCAGGAACUGCGUCCGAUACUGGCAGGCUUGAAUCCGGGAGAGGGAUGUGGAAUUCCUGGUGUAGCGGUGAAAUGCGUAGAUAUCAGGAGGAACACCGGUGGCGAAGGCGGCUUUCUGGACAGAUACCGACGCUGAGGCACGAAAGCUAGGGGAGCAAACAGG
rnacentral:rRNA from 1 species